rnacentral:rRNA from 1 species
UACGUAGGGUGCAAGCGUUAAUCGGAAUUACUGGGCGUAAAGCGUGCGUAGGCGGUUCGUUAAGUGCGUCGUGAAAGCCCCGGGCUCAACCUGGGAAUGGCGAUGGAAACUGGCGGGCUGGAGUAUGGCAGAGGGGGGUGGAAUUCCGCGUGUAGCAGUGAAAUGCGUAGAGAUGCGGAGGAACACCGAUGGCGAAGGCAGCCCCCUGGGCCAAUACUGACGCUCAGGCACGAGAGCGUGGGGAGCAAACAGG